rnacentral:rRNA from 1 species
UACGUAGGGUGCGAGCGUUGUCCGGAAUUACUGGGCGUAAAGAGCUCGUAGGUGGUUUGUCGCGUUGUUCGUGAAAACCGGGUGCUUAACCCUCGGCGUGCGGGCGAUACGGGCAGACUGGAGUACUGCAGGGGAGACUGGAAUUCCUGGUGUAGCGGUGGAAUGCGCAGAUAUCAGGAGGAACACCGGUGGCGAAGGCGGGUCUCUGGGCAGUAACUGACGCUGAGGAGCGAAAGCGUGGGGAGCGAACAGG